rnacentral:pre_miRNA from 1 species
UGUUAAAAAUUUUAUCCAUGUCUACUACUAAAAAUUGACAUGGCUGACACAAUAAUCAGAUAGUUACAUGUGAAUUGCCAAAUGUACUUCAUGUUAAUGUACAAGAACUAGUUUUUAAUUGUGGAUGUAGAUAAAAAAAUUAAAA